rnacentral:rRNA from 1 species
GUUGAACGCUGGCGGCAUGCCUUACACGUGCAAGUCGAACGGUAACAGGUUAAGCUGACGAGUGGCGAACGGGUGAGUAAUGUAUCGGAACGUGCCCAGUCGUGGGGGAUAACUGCUCGAAAGAGCAGCUAAUACCGCAUACGACCUGAGGGUGAAAGCGGGGGAUCGCAAGACCUCGCGCGAUUGGAGCGGCCGAUAUCAGAUUAGGUAGUUGGUGAGGUAAAGGCUCACCAAGCCGACGAUCUGUAGCUGGUCUGAGAGGACGGCCAGCCACACUGGGACUGAGACGCGGCCCAGACUCCUACGGGAGGCAGCAGUGGGGAAUUUUGGACAAUGGGCGCAAGCCUGAUCCAGCCAUGCCGCGUGCGGGAAGAAGGCCUUCGGGUUGUAAACCGCUUUUGUCAGGGAAGAAAAGGUUCUGGCUAAUACCUGGGACUCAUGACGGUACCUGGAGAAUAAGCACCGGCUAACUACGUGCCAGCCGCCGCAGUAACAC